rnacentral:rRNA from 1 species
CCUACGGGAGGCAGCAGUGGGGAAUAUUGCACAAUGGGCGCAAGCCUGAUGCAGCGACGCCGCAUGGGGGAUGACGGCCUUCGGGUUGUAAACUCCUUUCGCUAGGGACGAAGCGUUUUUGUGACGGUACCUGGAGAAGAAGCACCGGCUAACUACGUGCCAGCAGCCGCGGUAAUACGUAGGGUGCGAGCGUUGUCCGGAAUUACUGGGCGUAAAGAGCUCGUAGGUGGUUUGUCGCGUCGUUUGUGUAAGCCCGCAGCUUAACUGCGGGACUGGAGGCGAUACGGGCAUAACUGGAGUGCUGUAGGGGAGACUGGAAUUCCUGGGGUAGCGGUGGAAUGCGCAGAUAUCAGGAGGAACACCGAUGGCGAAGGCGGGUCUCUGGGCAGUAACUGACGCUGAGGAGCGAAAGCAUGGGUAGCGAACAGGAUUAGAUACCUUGGUAGU